GUGGGGUUGUGGCUCAGUAGUAGAGCGCUCGCCUAGCACGCGUGGUGCACUGGGUUCGAUCCUCAGCACCACA
rnacentral:tRNA from 1 species